rnacentral:tRNA from 1 species
GCCGGGGUGGUGGAACAGACACACAGGACUUAAAAUCCUGCGGUUGACUACCGUGCCGGUUCAAGUCCGGCCCUCGGCA